GACGAACGCUGGCGGCGCGCUUAACACAUGCAAGUCGAACGAAGAGCGAUGGAAGCUUGCUUCUAUCAAUCUUAGUGGCGAACGGGUGAGUAACGCGUAAUCAACCUGCCCUUCAGAGGGGGACAACAGUUGGAAACGACUGCUAAUACCGCAUACGAUCUGACCUCGGCAUCGAGGAUAGAUGAAAGGUGGCCUCUAUUUAUAAGCUAUCACUGAAGGAGGGGAUUGCGUCUGAUUAGCUAGUUGGAGGGGUAACGGCCCACCAAGGCGAUGAUCAGUAGCCGGUCUGAGAGGAGGAACGGCCACAUUGGGACUGAGACACGGCCCAGACUCCUACGGGAGGCAGCAGUGGGGAAUCUUCCGCAAUGGACGAAAGUCUGACGGAGCAACGCCGCGUGAGUGAUGACGGCCUUCGGGUUGUAAAGCUCUGUUAAUCGGGACGAAAGGCCUUCUUGCGAAUAGUUAGAAGGAUUGACGGUACCGGAAUAGAAAGCCACGGCUAACUACGUG
rnacentral:rRNA from 1 species